rnacentral:rRNA from 1 species
CCUUUGUACACACCGCCCGUCGCUACUACCGAUUGAAUGGCUCAGUGAGGCCUCCGGACUGGCUCAGGGAGGUUGGCAACGACCACCCAGGGCCGGGAAGCUGGUCAAACUUGGUCAUUUAGAGG